UACGUAGGGGCAAGCGUUAUCCGGAUUUACUGGGUGUAAGGGAGCGUAGGUGGUUCGAUAAGUCAGAUGUGAAAGCCCGGGGCUCAACCCCGGACUGCAUUUGAAACUAUCGGACUAGAGUGCAGGAGAGGUAAGUGGAAUUCCUAGUGUAGCGGUGAAAUGCGUAGAUAUUAGGAGGAACACCAGUGGCGAAGGCGACUUACUGGACUGGUAACUGACACUGAGGCUCGGAAAGCGUGGGGAGCCAAACAGGGGAUUAAGA
rnacentral:rRNA from 1 species